GAGGGUAUAGCUCAAUGGUAGAGUGCCUGCCUAGCAGGCAUGAGGUCCCAGGUUCAAUCCUCAGUGCCUCCA
rnacentral:tRNA from 1 species